rnacentral:rRNA from 15 species
AGGUGCUGCAUGGCUGUCGUCAGCUCGUGCCGUGAGGUGUCAGGUUAAGUCCUAUAACGAGCGCAACCCCUGUUGUUAGUUACCAGCACGUAGUGGUGGGGACUCUAACAAGACUGCCGGUGCAAACCGUGAGGAAGGUGGGGAUGACGUCAAAUCAUCACGGCCCUUACGUCCUGGGCCACACACGUGCUACAAUGGCGAGUACAGAGGGCAGCUACAUAGUGAUAUGAUGCAAAUCUCAAAAACUCGUCUCAGUUCGGAUCGAAGUCUGCAACUCGACUUCGUGAAGCUGGAAUCGCUAGUAAUCGCGCAUCAGCCAUGGCGCGGUGAAUACGUUCCCGGGCCUUGUACACACCGCCCGUCAAGCCAUGGAAGCUGGGGGUGCCUGAAGUCGGUAACCGCAAGGAGCUGCCUAGGGCAA